AUUUCUGGGUUAAUUAGGUAGCUCAGACUAAAUCCCUUGAAAACGGUGAAACUCUGGAUCUGUGAAAGAGAAAUUUUUAUUAUCUAUAAAAAAUAUCUCUUUCGGUGACAGACAAUACCGUGCCAAGCUACUAUUAAAAAUAGUAGAAGGUGUAGAGACUAACCCUAUAAGGGAGUAGGCUGUAAGCGAUUGACAGUCGAAGCGGGGGACUCCUUUUUCUAUUAAAAGGAUGAUGAGAUAGUCCGAUCCAUAAGGUGACUUAUGG
rfam:Planktothrix agardhii NIVA-CYA 126/8 chromosome, whole genome shotgun sequence.